GAACCAGAACCUGAUGUGGUAUAUAAAUAUAACAUUUUCAAAUCUCUCAACUCAUUUGAAAUUUGAACUGAAUUUUUUGUUUUUUAAAAGGUUCAGGUUAUGCACCAAGUUGAAGAAGAUGAAAUAAAUCCCAACAUAUUUAGUUGUGUUGUUAAUUGCACCUGUCCCUCCUCCUGUUGUCAUCCUUCUCCUCAUCCACUCAUAUUUUACAUAGUGGCAUUUUCUUCCUCUCUCACCAUUGGGUUCAUCCUUAUUUUUAAAGACAAAAUCAAUAAACUGACCGAACAAAUGAAAGAACAAGAAGAGAAAGAGAAUCAGUUAAAGACCAGAGU